CGCGGGCCCAGCCGCCUCGGGGGCCUGACGCGCCCGGAGCCUUCUGCCCCGGGCCAGCGCACGGGAACACCUCCUGCUGGCCCCCGGGAUCCCUCGACACCGAACCGCGACAGUCGAGCAGCCGACAAAUCGGACCCGUCCCGAAAGGCAUUUUGUAAACGAAUUGUUUGAAACUCAAAAAGUGUUAACUGUACAAUUCAAAUCCUUUAACCGGGACAAAACGAAGAACGAACUGCGGCUGGCGGUCCCUGGCCCGGUGAAAGGCAACCUGGGUUUACUCACAGGCGGCCAAGUCUAGGGCCUCGCUUCUCCGAGCCUCAGUUUCUUCGUCUGUGUGUGUGAUUCCUAGGAAAUACCCACUGUACAGAGCCGGAAACUGAAUCUCCAAGUGAUUUCUGAAGGUCAAGUAGCUGACUCCAGAACCAUCUACGUGUGCACCAGUAUUCCAAAUACUUCAGCUCCUCAAACCCUCUAAACCAAAGUCAUAGGCUGCCUCUGGAGUCCAGAUGUGAGGAGACUCGUCACAUUCAAGGACUUUCCAGUGAUGGCAAUGCCCCCAUGGAGUCCUGGAACAUCAAACAUGGUGCUGUGACCAAGAGGUUCUAAGUGGAUGCUGGUACCAUGCCAUUUGGACUUUCCAGUCAUCAGAACUGUGCUGUACAAAUGGAAGUGUCAUAGCCCUCGACUGGCCCCUCCCAACCUUGGGUCAUAAGCCUGGUAAUAGGGUCAGCUGGUAAAUAAAGAUCACAGUCCGAUGGUGUGCUGUCUUUCAACAUGGUCAUCCUAAUCAAAAGAUCUUGGAAACAUCCUCUUGGGAGAAGUCUCAGGCAGAGUUCUUCGGCCACAGCAGAGGCAUGCCGUUUCCCUUCCCACUGAUGACUGCAGUCAACAUAUUCUCUGAACUCCAGACUUGUGUCCUCAACUGUUCACCAGACAUUUCCACCUAUGUGUCCUGCACACUCUUCAAAUUCAUCUGUCAACCUGGUGGAGUAGGUCUCUGCAAGGCAGGAGAAGAUGAAGAGGAUGGGCAAUGGUUUAUUCAGCUUCUUCAUUGCUGUGACCAAAAGACCCAACAAGAACAAUUUUAGAAGAUGAAAAGUUUAUCUGGGGCUUCACAGUUUCAGAGGUCUCGUCCAUAGGCAGCUGGCUCUGUUCCUCAAGGCUCAAGGGCCUGGCUGCAUUGUCCAGGAUGGCCUUGGACUUGUGAUCCUCCUGUCUCAGCCUCCUGAAUCACUGGGAUGACAGAUAUUGCGAAUAUGAGGAUACUCAAGCAAGAUACAAAGAUGUUCAUUAUGGAGACUGCAUGAGUUGGCAUAGAUUGUCUUACCUCAGAAAAAGAGGAAGAAACUCCAGGAGUUCGAGGACACAGGAAAGUUCACGUGGGUACAAAGUGAGAAGUCUGCCGCCUGCAAGCCUGGAAGAGAGUCCUCACCGGACACCAGUCACGCUGGCUCCUUGAUCUUGGACUUCCUGCCUCCAAACUGUGACAAUAUCCAUUUCUGUUGUUUUAGGCACACAGCCUGUGGGAUUCUGUUAUGGAAUCCUGAGCUCAUAAAUACAGGAGCAGAGAGAUAUGAGCCUAGGAUAUCCUUGAAAAUGAGAAACACUGAAAAUAAUUGAUGAACAACAGUCAUGUCUACUAAAGAGGGUGAAAUAAAACAACAUAAACAGAAUGGCAGAAUACAUGUUUGAUAUAAUAAGUAUCAGAUACUUUCAAUUCUCUUUUCCUAGCCUUUAUGCUAUUCUUUUAUUUGGGGGGGGUAUAUUUUUUAUUUGUUUCUUUUUAGAUAUACAUGACAGUAGAAUGUAUUUUGACAUAGCAUAAAAACAUGGAGUGUAACUUCCCAUUCUUGUGCUUGUACAAGAUGAGGAGUUCACUGGUCAUAUAUUCACAUAUGAACAUAGGAAAUUUAUGUCCAAUUCAUUCUACUGUCUUUCCUAUUCCCAUCCCCCCUCCAUUCCCCCUCUUUCUCCCCUGACCAAUGUGUUGAACCUCCACUCCUCCAGACCCCUACCUAUUGUGAGUCAGCAUCCGCAUAUCAAAGAGAACUUUGGGCUUUUGGUUUUCUGGGAUUGGCUUAUUUCACUUAGCAUGAUAGUCUCCAGGUCUAUCCAUUUACCAGCAAAUGUCAUAAUUUCAUUUCUCUUUAUGGCUGAGUAAUAUUCCACUGUGUGUGUGUGUGUGUGUAUAUAUAUAUACACACACAUACCACAUUUUUUAAUCCAUUAAUCAAUGUUCAUAGCAGCUUGAUUCACAAUAGCUAACCUAUGGAACCAACCUAGGAGCCCUUCAACAGAUGAAUGGAUAAAGAAAAUAUGGUACAUAUUCUAUUCUUUUUUAAAAGACUAUUUUAUUGAUAUAGCUUACAGAGGGCACCUACCAUUCAGUUGAUGUUUUAGUAUUCUCACAAAGUUGUACAACUCUUACCAUUGCUCCACACAAUGUCUUCACUCCAAAAGGAGACCCUGUGCCUAUUAGCACUCUCCCCCCAUUUUCCCCUCCUCCCAGUUCAUGGAAACUCCUUGUCUAUUUUUGAUCUUCAGGGCUUUGCUCAUUCUGGAUAUGUCAUAAAUGGAAUGACGCACUCUCUCAGAUCUGAAGUUAUGGCAUCUUCUGGCAGGAGGUUCCUCCCUCUGUGCUGUCCCCUGGAAUCUGUAUCAACACUAGGGAAGUUUUAGGACUUGCCUAGUUUAUUUUGUGACUCUUGGUAACCAUGACUUCCAUUAAAUGAUAUCUUGUAUCUAGGAAA